rnacentral:rRNA from 1 species
UACAGAGGGGGCAAGCGUUGUCCGGAAUCAUUGGGCGUAAAGAGCGUGUAGGCGGUUCGAUAAGUCUGUUCUGAAAGUCCAAGGCUCAACCUUGGGAUGCGGAUGGAUACUGUCGAACUCGAGUCCGGAAGAGGAGUGUGGAAUUCCUGGUGUAGCGGUGAAAUGCGCAGAUAUCAGGAGGAACACCGGUGGCGAAGGCGGGUCUCUGGGCCGUAACUGACGCUGAGGAGCGAAAGCAUGGGGAGCGAACAGG